GUAGGGAAUAUUGGGCAAUGGGCGAAAGCCUGACCCAGCCAUGCCGCGUGAGUGACGAAGGUCCUAUGGAUUGUAAAGCUCUUUUCUGAGGAAAGAACAUCCGGGGUAGGAAAUGACCCCGGCUUGACGGUACCUCAGGAAUAAGGAACGGCUAACUCCGUGCCAGCAGCCGCGGUAAUACGGAGGUUCCAAGCGUUGUUCGGAAUUACUGGGCGUAAAGGGAGCGCAGGCGGACGAGUCAGUCUGAAGUGGAAUCCCGGGGCUUAACCUCGGACUUGCUUCGGAUACUGCUUGUCUUGAGUUCGUGAUAGGAAGACGGAAUUCAGGGUGUAGCGGUGAAAUGCACAGAUAUCCUGAGGAACACCGGUGGCGAAAGCGGUCUUCUGGCGCGAAACUGACGCUGAGGCUCGAAAGCGUGGGUAGCAAACGGGAUUAGAUACCCGUGUAGUCC
rnacentral:rRNA from 1 species